rnacentral:rRNA from 1 species
UACGUAGGGUGCGAGCGUUAAUCGGAAUUACUGGGCGUAAAGCGUGCGCAGGCGGUUCGUUGUGUCGGCGGUGAAAGCCCCGGGCUCAACCUGGGAAUGGCCGUUGAAACUGGCGAACUGGAGUGUGGCAGAGGGGGGGUAGAAUUCCACGUGUAGCAGUGAAAUGCGUAGAGAUGUGGAGGAACACCGAUGGCGAAGGCAGCCCCCUGGGCUAACACUGACGCUCAUGCACGAAAGCGUGGGGAGCAAACAGG